rnacentral:rRNA from 1 species
UACGUAGGGUGCGAGCGUUGUCCGGAAUUAUUGGGCGUAAAGAGCUCGUAGGCGGUGUGUCACGUCGGCCGUGAAAACCUGCAGCUUAACUGUGGGCGUGCGGUCGAUACGGGCAUCACUGGAGUUCGGCAGGGGAGACUGGAAUUCCUGGUGUAGCGGUGAAAUGCGCAGAUAUCAGGAGGAACACCGGUGGCGAAGGCGGGUCUCUGGGCCGAUACUGACGCUGGAGGAGCGAAAAGCGUGGGGAGCAAACAGG